GCAACUCCUACGAGAAAGAGAAGUGGGGAAUAUGGGACAAUAGGGGAAAGCCUGAUGCAGCGACGCCGCGUGAGAGAUGACGGCCUUCGGGUUGUAAACCUCUUUCAGUAGGGAAGAAACGAAAGUGACGGUACCUGCAGAAGAAGCGCCGGAUAACUACGUGCCAGCAGCCGCGGUAAUACGUAGGGCGCAAGGGUUAUCCGGAAUUAUUGAGAGUAAAGAGCUCGUAGGCGGUUUGUCGCGUCUGCCGAGAAAGUCCGGGGCUCAACUCCGGAGCUGCGGUGGGUACGGGCAGGCUAGAGUGAUGUAGGGGAGACGGGAAUUCCUGGGGUAGCGAUGAAAUGCGCAGAUAUCAGGAGGAACACCGAUGGCAAAGGCAGGUCUCUGGGCAUUAACUGACGCUGAGGAGCGAAAGCAUGGGGAGCGAACAGGAUUAGAUACCCUGGUAGGCCAUGCCGUAAACGUUGGGAACUAGGCGUGGGGGACAUUCCACGUUUUCCGCGCCGUAGCUAACGCAUUAAAUGCCCCGCCUGGGGAGUACGGCCGCAAGGAUAAAACUCAAAAGAAUUGACGGGGGCCCGCACAAGCGGCAGAGCAUGCGGAUUAAUUCGAUGCAACGCGAAGAACCUUACCAAGGCUUGACAUGGGCCGGAUCGCCACAAAGAUGUGAUUUCUCCUUUUGGGACCGGUCCACAAGGCGGUGCAUGGUUGUCGUCAGCUCGUGUCGUGAGAUGUUGGAGUAAAGUCCCGGCAACGAGCGCAACCCUCGUUGCAUGUUGC
rnacentral:rRNA from 1 species